UGCAAAGGUGCUGAGUGAUUGGGUGGGGCCAUGCCCCUCCCCCCACCCCCACCGCGGGGCCCUGGAGGAAGGGGAUGAACUCUACAAGGCCCUCUCCGCAGAGAAACCUGGUCUUGUGAACUGCAACACAUAUCUGGGAGGAUGGGUUUCCCAAGGCACUGCCACUGCCUGCCCCUGCUCUGGGGGCUCUGCUGCUCCCAGGUCCCCAGCUGGAGCCCCCCAGCCCUGCUCCCUAAUUCCAGCGGAGCAGGCACCGUGCCCGCAUGCCCAAUUGAUUCUCCCAGCACACACAGGCCUCAGUCUCCUCUGCUGCAGAAUGGGUGCCAAGCCCUCUGCGUGACAGACACUGCAAGUGUAUGACUCGGGACCAGGAUGUGCUAUGGGCUGUCCUCUGUGGGACAUGUAGGAAGCCUCCUUGUUCCUUUCCUCUUGGGCCUGGCAGGGCCCUCGGGAGAAGACAGGCUCUUCCAGUGCCAGGUGCGCUAGGAUGGGCACUGAGUCUGAGCUCCACGGAGGUGUGCUCUCCCCUACUCUGCACGGGAAAUGGACGGGACCAACCUGAGCCUCUAAAGCCUUCUUUUUUCCUCCUCGUGGGGCUUCUGGAACCAAAGAGGACUUCAUUUCCAUUUGGGGGCAGGGCAGGAAGAAAGAGAGGGGGUGCUGCAGCAGGACGGAUGGAGGAUCGAUAUCAAGGGGAACUUCCAGUGGAACGAAGCUUUGCUUUCUGAGCUGUGAUAAAUGCUCUGCUGGGCUGUGGGAAAGGGGCUGGGAUGGAAAUGGCAUUGGCUGGGCCUAUAGCCAAUGGGAACUUCCCCAUAGAAGAUGCCACUUAAAAAUGUUAUUACACCCUCAGGACUUUUAAAGUGAAGAAUAAAGUAACCAUGAACACCCUUUAAAGUAAUAUUGAGAGUUCCGAAGAG
rnacentral:lncRNA from 1 species